rnacentral:rRNA from 1 species
AAUUAACGCUGAUGGCAUGCCUGAUACAUGCAAGUCGAGCGAAUUGCUAGCAAUAGCAGUUAGCGGCGAACGGGUGAGUAAUGCAUACUUAACAUGCCUCUCCGAGGGGAAUAGCUACCCGAAAGGGUAAUUAAUACCCCAUACUAGCCCCCUCACAUGAGGGUGGCUUUAAAGGAGCAAUCCGCGGGGAGAUUGGAGUAUGUCCCAUUAGCUUGUUGGCGGGGUAAUGGCCCACCAAGGCAAUGAUGGGUAGCUGGUCUAAGAGGAUGAACAGCCACAAUGGGAUUGAGAUACGGCCCAUAUUCCUACGGGAAGCAGCAGUAGGGAAUCUUCCACAAUGGGCGAAAGCCUGAUGGAGCGAUGCCAUGUGAAUGAUGAAGGUCUUUUUGAUUGUAAAGUUCUUUUAUUGGGGAAAAUGAUGAUGGUACCCGAUGAAUGAGUGACAGCAAACUAUGUGCCAGCAGCUGCGGUAAUACAUAGGUCGCAAGCGUUAUU